GAUGAACGCUAGCGGCAGGCCUAACACAUGCAAGUCGAGGGGUAUAGUUCUUCGGAACUAGAGACCGGCGCACGGGUGCGUAACGCGUAUGCAAUCUACCUUUUACAGGGGAAUAGCCCAGAGAAAUUUGGAUUAAUGCCCCAUAGUGUUAUAGAAUCGCAUGGUUUUAUAACUAAAGUUCCAACGGUAAAAGAUGAGCAUGCGUCCCAUUAGUUAGUUGGUAAGGUAACGGCUUACCAAGACAAUGAUGGGUAGGGGUCCUGAGAGGGAGAUCCCCCACACUGGUACUGAGACACGGACCAGACUCCUACGGGAGGCAGCAGUGAGGAAUAUUGGACAAUGGGCGCAAGCCUGAUCCAGCCAUGCCGCGUGCAGGAAGACGGUCCUAUGGAUUGUAAACUGCUUUUGUACAGGAAGAAACACUCCCUCGUGAGGGAGCUUGACGGUACUGUAAGAAUAAGGAUCGGCUAACUCCGUG
rnacentral:rRNA from 1 species